GGUUGAUCCUGCCAGUAGCAUAUGCUUGUCUCAAAGAUUAAGCCAUGCAUGUCUAAGUAUAAACACCUUUUAUACCGCGAAACUGCGUACAGCUCAUUACAUCAGUUAUGAUUUCUUUGAAGAUUGGAUUUUUUUUAAUACUACAUGGAUACCCGUAGUAAUUCUAGAGCUAAUACAUGCGUAGAGGAUAAGGGUAAAACCUUAUCUGUAUUGAUUAGAUUUCUUAUUUGGAGGGCUUGCUCGAUUGUAUUGGUAAUACAGUACAGUUGUAUCAGGUGACUCAUAAUCA
rnacentral:rRNA from 1 species